rfam:Rattus norvegicus chromosome 1, whole genome shotgun sequence.
GGGGAUUUAGCUCAGUGGUAGAGCGCUUGCCUAGGAAGCGCAAGGCCCUGGGUUCGAUCCCCAGCUCCA